rnacentral:rRNA from 1 species
CGCAUCUGUGCAUGCAGCAUAUCAAUAAGCGGAGGAAAAGAAACUAACAAGGAUUCCCCUAGUAACGGCGAGUGGAGCGGGAAGAGCUCAAAUUUGAAAUCUUAAAGGGUUUCCCUUUACGAAUUGUAGUUUAAAGAAGUGUUUUCUGUUGAGGUUUUGGUAAAAGUUCUUUGGAAUAGGACAUCAUAGAGGGUGAGAAUCCCGUAUUUGACCUUUACUUUCAACUUUGUGAUACACUUUCAAAGAGUCGGAUUGUUUGGGAAUGCAGUCCAAAAUGGGUGGUAAAUUUCAUCUAAAGCUAAAUAUUGGCGAGAGACCGAUAGCGAACAAGUACCGUGAGGGAAAGAUGAAAAGAACUUUGAAAAGAGAGUUAAACAGUACGUGAAAUUGUCAAAAGGGAAGCGUUUGACACCAGUGUUGUUUUUCUGAAAAUCAAUUAAAGAACUGUUUAUGCUAAGUUGUUUAGACUUUAUCAGCUAACUGUUUAGUUUUGAGCUUUUCUUUAAUGCACUUUUCAGUUAACAAGUCAACAUCAAUUUCUUUUGCUGUAAAAAAGCUUGAGGAAGGUGGCUUGAGAUUCGUCUUAAGUGUUUAUAGCCUCUUGCCUAUGCAGUCGGAGAGAUUGAGGUCUGCAGCGUAGAUCCUUCGGGGCUAAAUGCAUUUGUGCUAAGUUAUAGCAUUUUAUAGACAACUUGUUGACUAUGAUUUGUCUUGUAGCUUACUCGCUUAUGUUAUUUUACCUACGCUUAGGAUGUUGAAUCUGUGCGAGACUAC